UACCAAAGUAAAAAAAAGCAACGUGAAAACUGAGAGGGAAAAAACACGCGGGUCAAAACGUUUCGGGUUAAAAACCCAUUGGAAAAUUUAUCUCAACCAUUCGCGAUUCUCGUAUUCUCAGAGCCAUGUCUCAACCAUUCGCGAAUCGCGAAUUCUCAAAACCUCUUUCCCCGAUUCUCUCUCAAAGUCCCUUUCCCCGAUUCUCAUUCAAAGCGCAAAAGCUGAAGCUCUGGUUUGGAAAUCGCCGGACAUCGACUAGAACAGAACUUUCAAUCGCUGGUUUGAAGCUAGGGUUUUCAAAUCGUAAGGUCAGUGAGGUUCUCUCUCCUAAAGCUUAAGGUCCUUCAACUAUAAUCAGUAGGAUGAUUUGCAUAUGCGUUUGGCACAAAUUUCUGUUAUCACCAAACUUUGCUUUUUGGGAUAUUUGUUUAAUUGGAGUUAUUUUUGAAAUUGGGUGUAUUUUCGAGUCAUCCUAAUUUGGUCUGCCUACUUAUUUUGCUUCAUUUCUUCAUCUUCUCCAUUAAAGAGAAAAAGGAAAUGUGAGUGCGAAGUUCAUCAUAGAAGCAGCAAAUAAUCCUACUAAUCCUGAAGUAGACGAGGUAACACUGCUUCCAAGUUAUUUCAGUACUUCUAAGUCUAAAUUGUAGUGAUUUGAAGGAAAAAAUAUCAGUUAUAUAAAAGAAAUUUAUGUGUGUUGUAAUAAAUUAAGGAGUUAUAGUACUGCCAUAUAUAUAUAUAUAUAUAUAUAUAUAUAUAUAUAUAUAUAUAUAUAUAUAUAUAUAUAUNNNNNNNNNNNNNNNNNNNNNNNNNNNNNNNNNNNNNNNNNNNNNNNNNNNNNNNNNNNNNNNNNNNNNNNNNNNNNNNNNNNNNNNNNNNNNNNNNNNNUGGAGGUGUGACUGUCAGCUAUUUUGAGUGGGUUCAGCGAACAUAUAUCACAAAAGCAACUGAUAUUUCUUUGUUUAUUUUUCUCUAUGAAAUCAUUUCAAUAGUUAUUAGUUCAAUUUUGACUCCUGAGAUCUUCUAAUGUGAUUCUUGGUCAUUAGAAAACGUUUCCCCCUUAAAAUUGGAUUGUGAACAAAUUGUGUAGAUACUCCUUUGUUAACACUUGGAAAAAGGUCAGAAUGUAGGAAAUUAAGUAAAUGUGAUUUUUUUUUUCCUUUCCAAGUUAUGAAGGUUUGAUUUACUUGAGUUUUUGGGUAAAUGAAAAUUGAUCUUAUUUGCAUUCUGAAGUUGGGUGCACACUUCUUAUUAUGUGUUGAACCGUGAUGGGAAUCUUCUGUCCUUGGAAACUUAACAUGGAGCCAUAAGUUAUAAUCUGUGUUAACUUGUAUGAGUAUGUUUUUGGGAGAAAAUACCAGUUCUUCUCUAAUAAAGCAAGUAAACAGUAGAGCUAGGCAUUACAAAUAUCCAACCAUAAUAGAAGCCAACAAUUACAAAUUAACAAUCAUCACAAGUAGUGCUAGCCAGCCAUUACAAAUAUCCAACCAGCCAAGAAUAACAAAUUAACAACCAUUUUAAAAAAAUAAACAACAACAGCAGCAGCAAAACAUCAACCUUUGCACACUAGAUAUGGUAUCGUACAAGACGUACUAGAGUCGUUUAAAACAAAGGCAAUUGGCACAAGUUAUUAGUUAGUUAUUACUUUAUAUGCCUUCUGACCUGAUGAUCUCUUGAACCACAAUGUGGAGCAAAGUGGUCUUCUCAUUCGUUCCCUUUAUAUCUAUUAAUUUCAACAGUGUAUCAAGUUUGAAAGCUCUUGCAUCACCACGAUUAGUGCCAACGUUCAUGCGGUUUUCUGUCCUCAGAACUGCUUCAAGCAGUUUGAGUUUGAGGAAUAACCGACUGUUCUUAAAUUCUUCACUUACUGCCUGAUCAUAUUGGUGAUAGUUUUAGAAUUUUUCAUUUCUUCAAUUUUUUUUUACUGAUAAUGUGAAUCCCUUGCUAUUUUUACUUGAUUAUAAGAAUUCAUUAUUCGGUUGAUGCUAAAUUUUUAAUUUUUUUCUUAUUGUUAUACUUUUUGAAAAUUGAACUAUUUUUAAGGUCACAUUCUUAUUGUUAUGUAUGCGUUGUAUAAUUUGUAGUUUACAAUAAAUAUUAUAUAUGAUUUAUCUAAUGAAAAUGGUUUUCUUUUAUAUGGCCUAGUUUUCAUUCUCUUUGAAAAUUACAGGCAAAUAGUUAAAAGUCAUCCAUGGACAAAAGAAUGAUACUUGUAUAAACUCCAAAUUGACUUCUCAAGAUCGAGGUAAAAUAGUAAAGUUCUUGCAAAUUAACCUAUUUUUUUGCCAUGUUGAGCAGGUAGAAGAAACUCAGUUAUAGUAUAACGAGAAGGGUUCAAUGAAUUGUACAUUUUUCAGUCCUGGCUCAACUCAUAAAUGGUACGGCAAGUAUGCGUAUAUAUGCAUUGGACACUCUGCUUUGCUUAACUCUGGCUCCAAAAAGUGAAUGGAGAGCGGCACAACAUCUACACAACCCGAAUACUUAGUUUUUUCACUAGCUGACAUUAGAGGAACAUCUUCAAAUAGGAUUAAAAGAUUUGGAUACAUGUUUGUAACAAAGCAAAAUUUAUGUGAAUGUAGAAUCUUCACUGCUCAUGUAUCCUAUUUGGAAACAAAAUAUAUCAAAUACAAAUUUUGCAAAUUAGUAUCAUGUUUGACAAUCCAAAAGAGACCAAACUACUCAUGUUUUUUUUUUUUUUGAAAUUUUACAGAUUAUUCAGCUCAUUGUGUUGAUUGAGACUUUAAAGAUUGUUGAAUGAGACCAAGCGAUUUGGACAUGGCAAUUGAAGAAUCGCUUGGUAAUAGUUUGAACAGACCAAGAAAUUUGGAAAUGACAAUUGAAGAAUAGUCCUCUGCUCAUAAGCCAUAUUUUUUUGCUGCAAACUUUUACAACUUCCUCAACGAUAAUGAUACUUCUUAUCUACAGGAAUCAACUACAGUUUACAACACUAAAAUUUGGAAACCCAUCAGAGAAGAUGAGCAACAGUUACUUCAAGUUAAACAACAAUCCAAAGACAAACAACCUACAUUUACAGGCACUCAACGUUACAGAUGUGAUGCGAAAAUAACAUUUGACCAAUUAAAUGGUAAAAAUCUGAAUCCAGCUAUAUAAACGGCCAUCGAUAUCUCCAAGACACCAACACAUAUCAAACACUUGGACAUCUGGAUCUCAUGAAAGAAAUAAGUAAACAACUCUACUGAAGCUAAUGUCUUCCUUUUCUCAGGCUCUGUCACUUCUACUCCUAUCCACCUGAACAGUCCUUGAAUCCAAUGUUGAUAAGAUCUGGGGCAUUGACAUUACACCGGACACAACAAUUUCUGCAAAAUCAAAA
rnacentral:lncRNA from 1 species